rnacentral:rRNA from 1 species
UACAGAGGGGGCAAGCGUUGUUCGGAAUCACUGGGCGUAAAGCGCACGUAGGCGGAUUUUUAAGUCAGGGGUGAAAUCCCGAGGCUCAACCUCGGAACUGCCUUUGAUACUGGAGAUCUUGAGUCCGGAAGAGGUAAGUGGAACUGCGAGUGUAGAGGUGAAAUUCGUAGAUAUUCGCAAGAACACCAGUGGCGAAGGCGGCUUACUGGUCCGGAACUGACGCUGAGGUGCGAAAGCGUGGGGAGCAAACAGG